rnacentral:rRNA from 1 species
UACGGAGGGGGGCUAGCGUUGUUCGGAAUUACUGGGCGUAAAAGCGCGCGUAGGCGGCUUUGUAAGUUAGAGGUGAAAGCCCGGGGCUCAACCCCGGAAUUGCCUUUAAGACUGCAUCGCUUGAAUCCGGGAGAGGUGAGUGGAAUUCCGAGUGUAGAGGUGAAAUUCGUAGAUAUUCGGAAGAACACCAGUGGCGAAGGCGGCUCACUGGACCGGCAUUGACGCUGAGGUGCGAAAGCGUGGGGAGCAAACAGG